rnacentral:rRNA from 1 species
CUUGCUUCUCUUGAGAGCGGCGGACGGGUGAGUAAUGCCUAGGAAUCUGCCUGGUAGUGGGGGAUAACGUUCGGAAACGGACGCUAAUACCGCAUACGUCCUACGGGAGAAAGCAGGGGACCUUCGGGCCUUGCGCUAUCAGAUGAGCCUAGGUCGGAUUAGCUAGUUGGUGGGGUAAUGGCUCACCAAGGCUACGAUCCGUAACUGGUCUGAGAGGAUGAUCAGUCACACUGGAACUGAGACACGGUCCAGACUCCUACGGGAGGCAGCAGUGGGGAAUAUUGGACAAUGGGCGAAAGCCUGAUCCAGCCAUGCCGCGUGUGUGAAGAAGGUCUUCGGAUUGUAAAGCACUUUAAGUUGGGAGGAAGGGUUGUAGAUUAAUACUCUGCAAUUUUGACGUUACCGACAGAAUAAGCACCGGCUAACUCUGUGCCAGCAGCCGCGGUAAUACAGAGGGUGCAAGCGUUAAUCGGAAUUACUGGGCGUAAAGCGCGCGUAGGUGGUUUGUUAAGUUGGAUGUGAAAUCCCCGGGCUCAACCUGGGAACUGCAUUCAAAACUGACUGACUAGAGUAUGGUAGAGGGUGGUGGAAUUUCCUGUGUAGCGGUGAAAUGCGUAGAUAUAGGAAGGAACACCAGUGGCGAAGGCGACCACCUGGACUAAUACUGACACUGAGGUGCGAAAGCGUGGGGAGCAAACAGGAUUAGAUACCCUGGUAGUCCACGCCGUAAACGAUGUCAACUA